rnacentral:rRNA from 1 species
GUUAAGUGACUAAGCGUACACGGUGGAUGCCUGGGCAGUCAGAGGCGAUGAAGGACGUACUAACUUGCGAUAAGCGCAGAUAAGGCAGUAAGAGCCGUUUGAGUCUGCGAUUUCCGAAUGGGGAAACCCAACUGCAUAAGCAGUUACUGUUAACUGAAUACAUAGGUUAACAGAGCAAACCGGGGGAACUGAAACAUCUAAGUACCCCGAGGAGAAGAAAUCAACCGAGAUUCCGGUAGUAGCGGCGAGCGAACCUGGAUUAGCCCUUAAGCACUCGGUGAAGUAGGUGAACAAGCUGGAAAGCUUGGCGAUACAGGGUGAUAGCCCCGUAACCGACGCUUCAUCGAGCGUGAAAUCGAGUAGGGCGGGACACGUGAUAUCCUGUCUGAAUAUGGGGGACCAUCCUCCAAGGCUAAAUACUCCUGACUGACCGAUAGUGAACCAGUACCGUGAGGGAAAGGCGAAAAGACCCCUGUGAGGGGAGUGAAAUAGAACCUGAAACCGUGUACGUACAAGCAGUAGGAGCACCUUCGUGGUGUGACUGCGUACCUUUUGUAUAAUGGGUCAGCGACUUAUAUUCAGUGGCAAGGUUAACCGUAUAGGGGAGCCGUAGCGAAAGCGAGUCUUAACUGGGCGCUCAGUCUCUGGAUAUAGACCCGAAACCGGGUGAUCUAGCCAUGGGCAGGUUGAAGGUUGAGUAACAUCAACUGGAGGACCGAACCGACUAAUGUUGAAAAAUUAGCGGAUGACUUGUGGCUAGGGGUGAAAGGCCAAUCAAACUCGGAGAUAGCUGGUUCUCCCCGAAAGCUAUUUAGGUAGCGCCUCGGACGAAUACUACUGGGGGUAGAGCACUGUUAAGGCUAGGGGGUCAUCCCGACUUACCAACCCUUUGCAAACUCCGAAUACCAGUAAGUACUAUCCGGGAGACACACGGCGGGUGCUAACGUCCGUCGUGGAGAGGGAAACAACCCAGACCGCCAGCUAAGGUCCCAAAGUAUUGCUAAGUGGGAAACGAUGUGGGAAGGCUCAGACAGCUAGGAUGUUGGCUUAGAAGCAGCCAUCAUUUAAAGAAAGCGUAAUAGCUCACUAGUCGAGUCGGCCUGCGCGGAAGAUGUAACGGGGCUAAGCAAUACACCGAAGCUGCGGCAAUGUCUUUUAGACAUUGGGUAGGGGAGCGUUCUGUAAGCCGUUGAAGGUGAAUCGUAAGGUUUGCUGGAGGUAUCAGAAGUGCGAAUGCUGACAUGAGUAACGACAAAGGGGGUGAAAAACCUCCUCGCCGGAAGACCAAGGGUUCCUGUCCAACGUUAAUCGGGGCAGGGUGAGUCGACCCCUAAGGUGAGGCCGAAAGGCGUAAUCGAUGGGAAACGGGUUAAUAUUCCCGUACUUCUGACUAUUGCGAUGGGGGGACGGAGAAGGCUAGGUGGGCCAGGCGACGGUUGUCCUGGUUCAAGUGCGUAGGCUUGAGAGUUAGGUAAAUCCGGCUCUCUCUAAGGCUGAGACACGACGUCGAGCUACUACGGUAGUGAAGUCAUUGAUGCCAUGCUUCCAGGAAAAGCCUCUAAGCUUCAGAUAGUCAGGAAUCGUACCCCAAACCGACACAGGUGGUCGGGUAGAGAAUACCAAGGCGCUUGAGAGAACUCGGGUGAAGGAACUAGGCAAAAUGGUACCGUAACUUCGGGAGAAGGUACGCUCUUGAUGGUGAAGUCCCUCGCGGAUGGAGCUGACGAGAGUCGCAGAUACCAGGUGGCUGCAACUGUUUAUUAAAAACACAGCACUGUGCAAAAUCGCAAGAUGACGUAUACGGUGUGACGCCUGCCCGGUGCCGGAAGGUUAAUUGAUGGGGUUAGCGCAAGCGAAGCUCUUGAUCGAAGCCCCGGUAAACGGCGGCCGUAACUAUAACGGUCCUAAGGUAGCGAAAUUCCUUGUCGGGUAAGUUCCGACCUGCACGAAUGGCGUAAUGAUGGCCACGCUGUCUCCACCCGAGACUCAGUGAAAUUGAAAUCGCUGUGAAGAUGCAGUGUACCCGCGGCUAGACGGAAAGACCCCGUGAACCUUUACUACAGCUUGGCACUGAACAUUGAACCUACAUGUGUAGGAUAGGUGGGAGGCUAUGAAGACGUGACGCCAGUUGCGUUGGAGCCGUCCUUGAAAUACCACCCUUGUAUGUUUGAUGUUCUAACUUAGACCCAUUAUCUGGGUUGAGGACAGUGCCUGGUGGGUAGUUUGACUGGGGCGGUCUCCUCCCAAAGAGUAACGGAGGAGCACGAAGGUGGGCUAAUCACGGUUGGACAUCGUGAGGUUAGUGCAAUGGCAUAAGCCCGCUUAACUGCGAGAAUGACGGUUCGAGCAGGUGCGAAAGCAGGUCAUAGUGAUCCGGUGGUUCUGUAUGGAAGGGCCAUCGCUCAACGGAUAAAAGGUACUCCGGGGAUAACAGGCUGAUACCGCCCAAGAGUUCAUAUCGACGGCGGUGUUUGGCACCUCGAUGUCGGCUCAUCACAUCCUGGGGCUGAAGUCGGUCCCAAGGGUAUGGCUGUUCGCCAUUUAAAGUGGUACGCGAGCUGGGUUUAGAACGUCGUGAGACAGUUCGGUCCCUAUCUGCCGUGGGCGUUGGAAGAUUGAAGGGGGCUGCUCCUAGUACGAGAGGACCGGAGUGGACGAACCUCUGGUGUUCGGGUUGUGUCGCCAGACGCAUUGCCCGGUAGCUAAGUUCGGAAUUGAUAAGCGCUGAAAGCAUCUAAGCGCGAAGCGAGCCCUGAGAUGAGUCUUCCCUGACAGUUUAACUGUCCUAAAGGGUUGUUCGAGACUAGAACGUUGAUAGGCAGGGUGUGUAAGCGUUGUGAGGCGUUGAGCUAACCUGUACUAAUUGCCCGUGAGGCUUAACC